rnacentral:tRNA from 1 species
GGCCCAUUAGCUCAGUUGGUUAGAGUGUCGUGCUAAUAACGCGAAGGUCGCAGCAUGGGCCA